GGAUAUCUUGAGUGCAGUUGAGGCAGGCGGAAUUCGUGGUGUAGCGGUGAAAUGCUUAGAUAUCACGAAGAACUCCGAUUGCGAAGGCAGCCUGCUAAGCUGCAACUGACAUUGAGGCUCGAAAGUGUGGGUAUCAAACAGGAUUAGAUACCCUGGUAGUCCACACGGUAAACGAUGAAUACUCGCUGUUUGCGAUAUACUGCAAGCGGCCAAGCGAAAGCGUUAAGUAUUCCACCUGGGGAGUACGCCGGCAACGGUGAAACUCAAAGGAAUUGACGGGGGCCCGCACAAGCGGAGGAACAUGUGGUUUAAUUCGAUGAUACGCGAGGAACCUUACCCGGGCUUAAAUUGCAGAUGAAUUACGGUGAAAGCCGUAAGCCGCAAGGCAUCUGUGAAGGUGCUGCAUGGUUGUCGUCAGCUCGUGCCGUGAGGUGUCGGCUUAAGUGCCAUAACGAGCGCAACCCUUGUUGUCAGUUACUAACAGGUUCCGCUGAGGACUCUGACAAGACUGCCAUCGUAAGAUGUGAGGAAGGUGGGGAUGACGUCAAAUCAGCACGGCCCUUACGUCCGGGGCUACACACGUGUUACAAUGGGGGGUACAGAGGGCCGCUACCACGCGAGUGGAUGCCAAUCCCCAAAACCUCUCUCAGUUCGGACUGGAGUCUGGAACCCGACUCCACGAAGCUGGAUUCGCUAGUAAUCGCGCAUCAGCCACGGCGCGGUGAAUACGUUCCCGGGCCUUGUACACACCGCCCGUCAAGCCAUGGGAGCCGGGGGUACCUGAAGUGCGUAACCGCGAGGAGCGCCCUAGGGUAAAACUGGUGACUGGGGCUAAGUCGUAACAAGGUAGCCGUACCGGAAGGUGCGGCUGGAACACCUCCUUUCUGGAG
rnacentral:rRNA from 1 species